rnacentral:rRNA from 1 species
UACGUAGGGUGCAAGCGUUGUCCGGAAUUAUUGGGCGUAAAGAGCUCGUAGGCGGUUUGUCGCGUCGAAUGUGAAAACCCGAGGCUCAACCUCGGGCCUGCAGUGGGUACGGGCAGACUAGAGUGCGGUAGGGGAGAUUGGAAUUCCUGGUGUAGCGGUGGAAUGCGCAGAUAUCAGGAGGAACACCGAUGGCGAAGGCAGGUCACUGGGCCGCAACUGACGCUGAGGAGCGAAAGCAUGGGGAGCGAACAGG